rnacentral:rRNA from 1 species
CUAAACGUCCGUAGCCGGUCUGGUACAUUCGUGGGUAAAUCAACCCGCUCAACUGGUUGAAUUCUGCGAGGACGGCCAGACUUGGGACCGGGAGAGGUGUGGGGUACUCUCAGGGUAGGGGUAAAAUCCUGUCAUCCUGAGAGGACCACCUGUUGCGAAGGCGCCACACUAGAACGGAUCCGACGGUCAGGGACGAAGCCUAGGGGCACGAACCGGAUUAGAUACCCGGGUAGUCCUAGGUGUAAACGCUGUGGACUUGAUGUUGGGGAUGCUCCGAGCAUUCUCAGUGUCGAAGCGAAGGUGAUAAGUCCACUGCCUGGGGAGUACGGUCGCAAGGCUGAAACUUAAAGGAAUUGGCGGGGGAGC